GACGAACGCUGGCGGCGUGCUUAACACAUGCAAGUCGAGCGGGAUCCAACCGGUGGCAACACCGGGGAAGAUCUAGCGGCGAACGGGUGAGUAACACGUGAGCAACCUGCCCCGAAGACUGGGAGUAACACCGGGAAACCGGGUAGCUAAUAACCGGAUGUCGUCAUUAGGCCGCAUGACCUGAUGAUGAAAGGAAUUCAUCGCGUUCGGGAGGGGCUCGCGGGCUAUCAGCUUGGGUUGGGGUAACGGCCUACCAAGGCGACGACGGCUAGCUGGUCUGAGAGGACGACCAGCCACACUGGGACUGAGACACGGCCCAGACUCCUACGGGA
rnacentral:rRNA from 1 species